rnacentral:tRNA from 1 species
AAGGGUAGAGCUCAGUGGUAGAGCACAUGCUUAGCAUGCACAAGGUUCUAGGUUCAAUCCCCAGUACCUCCA